rnacentral:rRNA from 1 species
GAUGAACGCUGGCGGCGUGCCUAAUACAUGCAAGUCGAGCGAACAGACGAGGAGCUUGCUCCUUUGACGUUAGCGGCGGACGGGUGAGUAACACGUAGGUAACCUACCUAUAAGACUGGGAUAACUUCGGGAAACCGGAGCUAAUACCGGAUAAUAUUUCGAACCGCAGGGUUCGAUAGUGAAAGAGGGCUUUGCUAUCACUUAUAGAUGGACCUGCGCCGUAUUAGCUAGUUGGUAAGGUAACGGCUUACCAAGGCAACGAUACGUAGCCGACCUGAGAGGAUGAUCGGCCACACUGGAACUGAGACACGGUCCAGACUCCUACGGGAGGCAGCAGUAGGGAAUCUUCCGCAAUGGGCGAAAGCCUGACGGAGCCACGCCGCGUGAGUGAUGAAGGUCUUCGGAUCGUAAAACUCUGUUAUUAGGGAAGAACAAACGUGUAAGUAACUGUGCACGUCUUGACGGUACCUAAUCAGAAAGCCACGGCUAACUACGUG